rnacentral:rRNA from 1 species
UACGUAGGUGGCAAGCGUUGUCCGGAUUUAUUGGGCGUAAAGCGCGCGCAGGCGGUGAGGUAAGUCCGUCGUGAAAUCUCCCGGCUCAACUGGGAGGGUGCGGGGGAGACUGCCUGACUGGAGGCACUCAGAGGCCGGUGGAAUUCCCGGUGGAGUGGUGAAAUGCGUAGAGAUCGGGAGGAACACCAGUGGCGAAGGCGGCUCACUGGCCCGAUACUGACGCUGAGGCACGAAAGCGUGGGGAGCAAACAGG